rnacentral:tRNA from 1 species
GCUAUUUUGGCAGAUUAGUGCAAUAAAUUUAGAAUUUAUAUAUGUAAUUAUUAUUACAAAUAGUA